GGAACUGGGUAUUCCUACUGAUCAGAGGUCACCUUUAAAAAUUGGGGGUUUAGCGGCUGGAGCACGCCGGGACGAUCCGAACGAGGUUCGCGUUUUACCGCGUUUUACUGCGCUCAGUGUACCGACGAGCCCGCCGAUGAACUUGGGGGCCCCGGCCCCCCCACGGCCCCCGCCCCCCCCCCCCAGCGCCCCCCCCCCGCCCCGCCCUCCCCCCCACCCCCCCCCCCCCCCGCCCCACCCCCCCCCCCCCCCCCCCCCCCCCCCCCCCACCCCCCCCCCACACCCCCCACCCCCCUCCCCCGCGCAGUCCCCCCCCCCCCCCCACCCCCCGCCCCCCCCACCCCCCCCUCACACCCCCCCUCCCCCCCCCCGCCCCCCCCGCCCCCCCCCACCCCCCCUGCCCCCCCCCCCCCGCGCCCCCCCACCCCACACCCCACCCCCCCCCCCGCCCCCACGCCACCCUCCCCCCCCCAACGGCGACGCGCCCGCCGCCCCCCGAAGGAUCAUUACUGAGUUGAAAAACUCCACCCUGUGAACAUAACCUCUGUCGUUGCUUCGGCGGGCACCCGCCGGAGGUUCAAAACUCUUAUUUUUUCAGUAUCUCUGAGCCUGAAAGACAAAUAAUCCAAACUUUCACAACGGAUCUCUUGGUUCUGGCAUCCCAUGAAGAACCAGCGAAAUGCGAUAAGAUAAUGGUGAAUUGCAGAAAUUCAAUGAAAUCACCAAUCUUUGAAACCCAUUGCGCCCGCCGCUAUUCGGCCGGCAUGCCGGUUCCAGCGUCAUUUCCCCCACCCCCGCCUGGUGGUUGGGGGCCCCCCCG
rnacentral:misc_RNA from 1 species